UACGUAGGUGGCAAGCGUUGUCCGGAUUUAUUGGGUUUAAAGGGUCCGUAGGCGGAUCUGUAAGUCAGUGGUGAAAUCUCAUAGCUUAACUAUGAAACUGCCAUUGAUACUGCAGGUCUUGAGUAAGGUAGAAGUAGCUGGAAUAAGUAGUGUAGCGGUGAAAUGCAUAGAUAUUACUUAGAACACCAAUUGCGAAGGCAGGUUACUAUGUCUUAACUGACGCUGAUGGACGAAAGCGUGGGGAGCGAACAGG
rnacentral:rRNA from 1 species